rnacentral:rRNA from 1 species
AUUGAACGCUGGCGGCAGGCCUAACACAUGCAAGUCGAACGGUAACAGGAAGAAGCUUGCUUCUUUGCUGACGAGUGGCGGACGGGUGAGUAAUGUCUGGGAAACUGCCUGAUGGAGGGGGAUAACUACUGGAAACGGUAGCUAAUACCGCAUAACGUCGCAAGACCAAAGAGGGGGACCUUCGGGCCUCUUGCCAUCGGAUGUGCCCAGAUGGGAUUAGCUAGUAGGUGGGGUAACGGCUCACCUAGGCGACGAUCCCUAGCUGGUCUGAGAGGAUGACCAGCCACACUGGAACUGAGACACGGCCCAGACUCCUACGGGAGGCAGCAGUGGGGAAUAUUGCACAAUGGGCGCAAGCCUGAUGCAGCCAUGCCGCGUGUAUGAAGAAGGCCUUCGGGUUGUAAAGUACUUUCAGCGGGGAGGAAGGGAGUAAAGUUAAUACCUUUACUCAUUGACGUUACCCGCAGAAGAAGCACCGGCUAACUCCGUG